rnacentral:rRNA from 1 species
GACGAACGCUGGCGGCGUGCUUAAUACAUGCAAGUCGAACGGAAAGGCCCUGCUUUUGUUGGGUGCUCGAGUGGCGAACGGGUGAGUAACACGUGAGUAACCUGCCCUUGACUUUGGGAUAACUUCAGGAAACUGGGGCUAAUACCGGAUAGGAGCUCCUGCUGCAUGGUGGUGGUUGGUAAGUGUCGGCGGUUUGGGAUGGACUCGCGGCUUAUCAGCUUGUUGGUGUGGUAGUGGCUUACCAAGGUUUCGACGGGUAGCCGGCCUGAGAGGGUGACCGGCCACAUUGGGACUGAGAGACGGCCCAGACGCCUACGGGAGGCAGCGGUGGGAAAUAUUGCGCAAUGGGCGGAAGCCUGAUACAGCAACGCCGGGUGCGGAAUGACGGCCUUCGGGUUGUAAACCGCUUUCGCCUGUGACGAAGCGUGAGUGACGGUAGUGGAUAAGGAAGCACCGGCUAACUACGUG